GUCCCACUUUAGUAAACAUUCUUUGCCUUCUAGAAUCAUAGUUGUUGUUUGGUCAUUUCAGUUGUAUUUAUCUUUUUGUGACCUCAUUUGGGGUUUCCGUGGUAAAGAUGCUGGGCAAUUUGACAUUCUUUCUGUUUCAUUUUUCACAUGAGCAAACUGAGACAAAUAGGGUUAAGUGACUUGCUCAGAAUCACACAGGGAGCCAACUUUCUUAUUCCUGGAUCACCUGGAGCAAAUGUUAUUGAGUUCUAAUCUCACUCUUAUGCUUAAUGGUCUUGGAAACACUUCAGUGCAAGUAUUAGAGCACAUCGUCUGAAUCUGCCUAAUUAUUUCCUGACAAUCCGCACUUUGAUUUCCAGCACUCAUGAUCCAGAUAAUAUCUGAGAACAGCUUUGUUAUUUUUAGUUUCAGGUCAGUAGGUCUUUGAGCCCUUGCUGAGGCCAUCAUUGGGGCCCCCACCUAAGUCCUGCCCUCAUAACAGAGUGUAAGAUGCUGAUCCUGCCCCUUUGGCUAUGGCAACAUAAAAUCCAAAUAAAAAUCACAUGAG
rnacentral:lncRNA from 1 species